AAUGUCAUUCGGUUACAGAAACUUUGUCGGGGAGAGAACAGCAUUAUCACAAAUUUGGAAGCAAAGGUUGCCACCUUGGAGGAACAGUUGAACGCCGAAUCUUCGUAAGUUGAUGGAAUAUUUUACAUUUGUACUACUGAUAAGGUGGGUCUUCCGAUCAGUGGUAAAGAGUCCAUUUUCCCUUCGAUAACAAUGAUACGUGUUCGCGUCUGCCUCGUUUGGUUUCUGAUGGUCACCGAGCAUUCUCCCAACACUGAGAUGCAAAAGUGCUCGAAUCUUUGUUCUGGGUUUCUUCAGCCGAAUUCGGAUCCAAUGCUCUGACGUCGCCGAAAUUGCUCCUCGUCCAUUAUGUUGGUGUCAGAUUCUGCAUCUGGCUCAAUUUCUGUUGCUACAUUAUUAAUCGUCACCGUGCAAGAUUUAGAUUGUUUCUUUCUGUUCACUCGAGAUGUUCGUUUAAUGCGAAGCAUGAAUGCGAAGGUGUUGUAUAAAGUCUUGGUCGUACGAGCUGUCACUGGAACAGGAAUCCGUUGAGUUCUCGUCUUGAUGUUUGACGUGUCUUAUGUUUGGUUUUCCGUCAUCUGGUUUAAGAUUGGUGGCGAUCGAAGGUGGACAGCAAGAUCGAAGCUCAGCAAGAUUGAAAAUUGUUCGAGGAAGAAGGAGUUCGCCGUUGACUAAAAGGUUUAUCUGAACAGCUAGUUGUCAAGAUGAACGUGAAGAGAAAAAAGAUGGAAUAGAAGACUCGCCCGGCCAAAUUCAAAAUGGCGAUGCCAAAGAAAACCAUCCACGUGGACCGUUCACGGACCUUU